rnacentral:rRNA from 1 species
GACGAACGCUGGCGGCGUGCCUAAUACAUGCAAGUAGGACGCAGUUGCGAACGGGUGAGUAACGCGUCGGUAACUGCCUAUUAGAGGGGGAUAACUAUUGGAAACGAUAGCUAAUACCGCAUACUAGUAGAUGGACCUGCGUUGUAUUAGCUAGUAGGUAGGGUAAUGGCCUACCUAGGCGACGAUACAUAGCCGACCCGGGAGGGUGUACGGCCAAACUGGGACUGAGACACGGCCCAGACUCCUACGGGAGGGAGCAGUAGGGAAAUUUCGGCAAUGGGGGGAACUCUGACCGAGCAACGCCGCGGGAGUGAAGAAGGGUUUCGGAUCGGAAAGAGCUGUUGUUAAGGAAGCGGUACUUAACCAGAAAGGGACGGCUAACUACGUGCCAGCCGCCGCGGUAAUAC